rnacentral:rRNA from 1 species
CCUACGGGUGGCAGCAGUGAGGAAUAUUGGUCAAUGGACGAGAGUCUGAACCAGCCAAGUAGCGUGAAGGAUGACUGCCCUAUGGGUUGUAAACUUCUUUUAUAAAGGAAUAAAACGAGGCACGUGUGCCUUUUUUCAUGUACUUUAUGAAUAAGGAUCGGCGAACUCCGUGCCAGCAGCCGCGGUAAUACGGAGGAUCCGAGCGUUAUCCGGAUUUAUUGGGUUUAAAGGGAGCGUAGAUGGGUUGUUAAGUCAGUUGUGAAAGUUUGCGGCUCAACCGUAAAAUUGCAAUUGAUACUGGCAGUCUUGAGUACAGUUGAGGUAGGCGGAAUUCGUGGUGUAGCGGUGGAAUGCUUAGAUAUCACGAAGAACCCCGAUUGCGAAGGCAGCUUACUAAACUGUGACUGACAUUGAUGCUCGAAAGUGUGGGUAUCAAACAGGAUUAGAUACCCUAGUAGUC